GACGUAGGGUCCAAGCGUUGUCCGGAUUUACUGGGCGUAAAGAGCGCGUAGGCGGUCCGUUAAGUGUAGAGUGAAAGCUCCGGGCUCAACUCGGAAAUUGCUCUGCAUACUGGCAAACUAGAGGAUGGUAGAGGCGUGUGGAAUUCCGGGUGUAGUGGUGAAAUGCGUAGAGAUCCGGAGGAACACCAGUGGCGAAGGCGACACGCUGGGCCAUACCUGACGCUAAAGCGCGACAGCAUGGGGAGCAAACGGG
rnacentral:rRNA from 1 species